GUCCACACUGGCAAGGCACAUAGAGCACUCUGACUCCAUUGCUAGAGCACUCCUCGUACUCCACCUCAGCGAGUGGAAUAACGUUUGAUGUGCCCCCGCUGGAGAGCCGCAGUACCUGAGCGAAAGAGGUGUUGGAUUACUGGGCU